UGGUGAAUAGAAUUUCAUACUCGUCAGGGAUGAAGUUCUGCGAAUAAUAAAACUGUCAUUAAAUAUAUCGCUAGGUUAUGAAAAGCUUACACAAUUACAGAAUAUUUAUACCAUGAGUUAGCAAAGUUGUAGGUAUUAAUAUAAAUUGGCAUACAAACAGGUCAUAUUGUAUCGGGAAAACCUAAUUAUAUCGAUGUGGCUGGGACAAACCGCACAUUGUUCAUUAUCACUAAAUGCUUAAAUACUAGUACAGUUGUCGAAACAAAUUCUAUUUAGACAAAAUUUAGAGCGAUUUAUUUCAGGUCAGUUAAAGUGCCAGUUGUUGUAUAGAUCUAUUAUUAUCAAGUUCCGAAACUGAUGAGAUUUUUAUUACUGUGUAGGGAUUAAAUUUCCUGUAACUAUGCAUUUAUAAAAUUUAAAAUUAUGUUGCGAAUGAUCCGGUCUGUGUGAUAUCGAUAUUCUUGACUGUACUUUAGUUUCUUUUCCUUGUAGAUAGUCAUUUUCCUGCUGAAAUAACACAGAAUGUUAGAUCAGUACUAACUAAGCUCUCUAACGAAACGAAUACCAUUGACCUGCUCAUUUGCCGUAAUAAAACGUGUAUUAUUUAAACGUAAUGGAGAGACGUGCUCGGAUAAAAACUUUCUGCGCUUGCUGUGGAAAAGGCCCGUAAGUACUCUCCAAUAAUUGAUUAAAUUCGUAGAUAAACAUCAAACUAUUUCUCUUUGUAAACUUUGUAUUUAGAAGAACUCUUAUAAAAGUAGAGUUUGUAGGGAUGCAAGACAAUAGUCUAUUCAAAGGUAGAUCGCAAAUCGAGCCUCUUUUAAGUUAUUCUAUUCCAUUUAAAAACAAACAUUUUACCUGCGUUAAGUACUAACGCCGAUCGCUGCCUGUUACCAAUCCAUUUCAUUUACUAUAUUCUAGCCCACCACGGCGGAGCCCCGUUGAGCCAGCCCAGUUAGCCCCACGAAACCGGGGUAGCUCUAGAUCACUAGAAAACAUUCCAGCGUCCACAUACCGGGAGAAAAAAAAGUCAGUCACGAAGAAAGAGCAUUUAGAAAUAUUUUAUUCACGUAUUAUAUAGUAUAUUUAGUAUGAAUAUGGAGUUUCAAUUCGAUUUUAUGAUUUAGAAUCAAAUAACAUCGAAUUCAACUAAAUUGCUGCAUUAAAUUUUUGGAUUUUUAGAAGAGGUUUUAUUUGUCAGAUAAA